GAGUGAUCCUGCGCCGAAGAUUUCCGGGGCUAAAACUUACUACCGAAGCUACGGCAUCAUUAUGAUGGGUAGGGGAGCUUCCCAUACGGGUUGAAGCAUGACCGUAAGGACAUGUGGACAGUAUGGGCGUGAGAAUGUUGGCAUGAGUAGCGAGAUGUGGGUGAGAAUCCCACAGGCCGUAAACCCAAGGUUUCCAGGGGAAGGUUCGUCCGC
rnacentral:rRNA from 1 species